CUAGGCCAUAGGGUAAUCUCACGAUAUAUCGUCGGAAAUUAUCCUAUAGAAUCUAAUUUGGCUUUGGGAUAAAAUACUCAAAAAUAAAUGGUCUUACUUAACACUUAAAACAACCUGAACUAAACGCUAGGCUAGUCUUAUAAUUUAAUUAAUAAUUUAGUAAGGCAAUAUUCAAUAUAUAUGACAUGUGAGGCCUACUACUGGAUCUAAAUAUAUAUUAAUAAUGUAUGCUUGAUGUAUGUAAACUGUAAACUAUGUAGCCUAGUUUAAAAAAUAUCUGUUUAAUGAAUUUUGAAAGAAUGAGUACAACACAACCACCUGCUACCAGUUGUGUUUCUAAAAACUUCCUUCCAAAUGAGAAAAAUACUGAAAGUGAACCUUGUAUUCGAACUGAACUGCAUGUGGAAGCCAAACAACAUGGAACAGUCAUCAUUCAUACUGCAGACUUGUCACCUGUAAUAGAGAUAAAGGCAUUGAAAGAAGAUGUUGCAAAUAUAAUAAAUAUCAAAAGUUCUGAGCAGCAAUGGGCCUACAUGUGUAAUAUACUAGAUGACAAUUUGACUUUGGCGCAUUAUUUUCCAUCACUACCAAAGAAUUCAGAGCUUAUUAAGUUGUCAGUAAAAGCAAUAAACCCACAAAAAUGAUCUGAAGAAAUGUGUUUUAUAUUGAUUGCUAUUUGCAACAAUGAUGAGCGCUGCUAAGUUAUAAGUUAUUUGUGAGCUUAAGAUGCAUCAAGCUUAAGACAAGUAGUCAGAGAAAUGUCGUAGAACAUGACUUAUCAAGGAAAAUCAUGAGGGAUUUGGAAUUUCGAUCUAGCUCUGCUCCAGAUAUUUUUUGCUACCUCCAGCUCUGCACAUGCUAGUAUUAAUUUUUUUAAAUGUGAGCUAUGUACAAACAUCAGCAGCCUUACUUUAAUCAUUUAAGUUUUAUGUGAUCUGUUUCGUUGCUGGUGUUAGUGCAUUUUGUUGUCUAACAUUGAGUAAAACAGUGUAAUUUUUUUAAAAUUUAGCUGGUCACAUUUAGUCUUACUGCUGUCUGUGUUUAGUGUUAGACGUUCAUACAGGAACAACAGAUAGUGUUCGUAUCUUGUAAUCGUGUAAAUUUGUUUUAUUAAACUUGUAAAGCAAGUCUGUCAAGUAAGCAGGACUUUGGCAUUGGUCAAGUUCCUUAGUUCUUAACAGAAGUUGUAUUUUAAUACAGUGCUGAGUUAAAGAAUUAGGGCCUAAUUAAUAAUUUUUAUAAAGCUCACAUGCACCUACUGAUAGCCUAAACACCAGUUUUCUUGAGCUGCUUUUACUUUUAGACAUUUACCAGGGACACACACACACACUCUGAAAAGAUACCUAGAAGAAACUGCAUGGUAUAAAUUUCUUGAACUUUUACCAUGCCCAUCGAAUGCACCCAUGGUUUCCAGCCAGUGCUCCCCAUGGCAGGUACCGUACACUUUGGGAAACUCAGCUUUAGCGUUUCCGUUAUUCAGAACAACUUUUAUGGAUAUUUUCUUUCUUUUUACUACUUUUACAAGCUUUCAUUUAACUCACUUCCUCGUCUGUCUGUCUAGAUCGAAACGCCUGAGCGAAAUUUCGGACACGUCUGACAGACUUGUUUCAACAUUGGCACGUGGGUCAAGACAAUGCAACAUGACAUUAAAUUUGACUUCAUAGGUUGCCUGAUUUAUUUUUUUAUGAAUUAAUAAAACUUUCGUCCAAAUUAGUAGGCUGCUCAUCAAACUAUUCCGCACUAUUAGACACGCGUCAUCACGUUCAAUAGGUGUGCAAUGGUUUUUAGACAUGCAACUCUAUUGUAAAUAAAACAUGUAAAGUACUUAAAAUUUUUUUCAUAAAAAACGUUUUAAUAACAAACUUUCAUGUAAUAAUGCACUA